rnacentral:rRNA from 1 species
CCUACGGGAGGCAGCAGUGAGGAAUAUUGGUCAAUGGACGGAAGUCUGAACCAGCCAUGCCGCGUGCAGGAAGACGGCUCUAUGAGUUGUAAACUGCUUUUGUACAAGGGUAAACCUGAAUACGUGUAUUCAGCUGAAAGUACUGUACGAAUAAGGAUCGGCUAACUCCGUGCCAGCAGCCGCGGUAAUACGGAGGAUCCAAGCGUUAUCCGGAUUUAUUGGGUUUAAAGGGUGCGUAGGCGGAUUGAUAAGUUAGAUGUGAAAUGUCCGAGCUUAACUCGGGAACUGCCUCUGAUACUGGUGGUCUAGAGAGUAGAUGCGGUAGGCGGAAUGUAUGGUGUAGCGGUGAAAUGCUUAGAGAUCAUACAGAACACCGAUUGCGAAGGCAGCUUACCAAUCUAUAUCUGACGUUGAGGCACGAAAGCGUGGGGAGCAAACAGGAUUAGAUACCCCAGUAGUC